rnacentral:rRNA from 1 species
UACAGAGGUCUCAAGCGUUGUUCGGAUUCAUUGGGCGUAAAGGGUGCGUAGGUGGCGAUGUAAGUCUGGUGUGAAAUCUCGGGGCUUAACCUCGAAAUUGCAUUGGAUACUGCGUUGCUCGAGGACUGUAGAGGAGAGUGGAAUUCACGGUGUAGCAGUGAAAUGCGUAGAUAUCGUGAGGAAGACCAGUUGCGAAGGCGACUCUCUGGGCAGUUCCUGACACUGAGGCACGAAGGCCAGGGGAGCAAACGGG